rnacentral:rRNA from 1 species
UACGUAGGGUGCGAGCGUUGUCCGGAAUUAUUGGGCGUAAAGAGCUUGUAGGCGGUUUGUCGCGUCUGCUGUGAAAUCUCAAGGCUCAACCUUGAGCUUGCAGUCGAUACGGGCAGACUAGAGUGCGGUAGGGGGAGACUGGAAUUCCUGGUGUAGCGGUGAAAUGCGCAGAUAUCAGGAGGAACACCGGUGGCGAAGGCGGGGUCUCUGGG